GUACAAUCAAUCAGGGCCAGCUUCCAAGAAGGAACAGCAUCCUGCAACCCAGCUUCGUGCCGAAUGUGGUACAUCCCGACGAUACUGCCUGAUGGUUGGACUGUCUAUGCUUUUGAUAUGUUGCGCAAAAGAAUAAUUGUAUUAGACCCAGCAGUUGGCCCGUUUGGCUAUAGCAACCGCCGAGUCAGCAUGCAUGAAUUUGUUAGCAACAAACUCCAUGCCGCAUUGUUCACAUGCCUCCAGAAUUUCUUCAGCUCUUGGCAUUGUGAAUCAAGCCACUGGGGGCGCACUUUUCCGAUCAUAAUGAGGGAAAAUAUUGAGAAGUAUGCUUUUGGCCCAUCGACCACUCGCCCUUUGUAAUUAGUUCACAUAUUACUCGCAUUGUUUUAACUUGUCCCUUUGGCUUUUUUGAAUCCACCCAAAUGCAGAGAUCAGACUGGGUUGUGUGCCACCUUCUUUGCAUGGAAUUACGAUGGCGACAAGCUACAGAUACCACUAAACGAAGACACACUUGCAUCACACAGCAGCCUAAUGAUCUACGAACUAAUGAGGAUGCAAGGCAACCAAACUCCAGUAGCAAACGACACCCUUGAAGCAGUCAAAGUAUUAUUCACUGCUCUUUAGAAUACCGUUCUAACUAC